GAUGAACGCUGGCGGCGUGCUUAACACAUGCAAGUCGAACGAAGCACUUAAUGAGAUUUCUUCGGAUUGAUUAUUUUGUGACUGAGUGGCGGACGGGUGAGUAACGCGUGGGUAACCUGCCCCCAGACCGGGGGAUAACAGUCGGAAACGACUGCUAAUACCGCAUAAGCGCACAGUGCCGCAUGGCACGGUGUGAAAAACUCCGGUGGUCUGGGAUGGACCCGCGUCCGAUUAGUUAGUUGGUGGGGUAACGGCCCACCCAAGACUGCGAUCGGUAGCCGACCUGAGAGGGUGACCGGCCACAUUGGGACUGAGACACGGCCCAGACUCCUACGGGAGGCAGCAGUGGGGAAUAUUGCACAAUGGGGGAAACCCGUGAUGCAGCGACGCCGCGUGAGUGAAGAAGUAUUUCGGUAUGUAAAGCUCUAUCAGCAGGGAAGAAAAUGACGGUACCUGACUAAGAAGCCCCGGCUAACUACGUGCCAG
rnacentral:rRNA from 1 species